rnacentral:rRNA from 1 species
AAGAGAUCGGGAUAACACCUGGAAACAGAUGCUAAUACCGGNUAACAACAGAUGAUGCCUAUCAACUGUUUAAAAGAUGGUUCUGCUAUCACUCUUGGAUGGACCUGCGGUGCAUUAGCUAGUUGGUAGGGUAACGGCCUACCAAGGCGAUGAUGCAUAGCCGAGUUGAGAAGACUGAUCGGCCACAUUGGGACUGAGACCACGGCCCAAACUCCUACGGGAGGCAGCAGCU